AUUGAACGCUGGCGGAAUGCUUUACACAUGCAAGUCGAACGGCAGCAUAGGUGCUUGCACCUGAUGGCGAGUGGCGAGCGGGUGAGUAAUACAUCGGAACGUGCCCAGUCGUGGGGGAUAACGUAGCGAAAGUUACGCUAAUACCGCAUACGAUCUAAGGAUGAAAGCGGGGGACCGUAAGGCGUCGCGCGAUUGGAGCGGCCGAUGUCAGAUUAGGUAGUUGGUGGGGUAAAGGCUCACCAAGCCGACGAUCUGUAGCUGGUCUGAGAGGACGACCAGCCACACUGGGACUGAGACACGGCCCAGACUCCUACGGGAGGCAGCAGUGGGGAAUUUUGGACAAUGGACGCAAGUCUGAUCCAGCCAUUCCGCGUGCAGGACGAAGGCCUUCGGGUUGUAAACUGCUUUUGUACGGAACGAAAAAGCUCUUACUAAUACUAGGAGUCCAUGACGGUACCGUAAGAAUAAGCACCGGCUAACUACGUGCCAGCCGCCGCCGUAA
rnacentral:rRNA from 1 species